rnacentral:rRNA from 1 species
AUACGGAGGAUCUGAGCGUUAUCCGGAUUUAUUGGGUUUAAAGGGUGCGCAGGCGGGAGAUUAAGUCGGCGGUGAAAUUUUGCAGCUCAACUGUAAAAGUGCCUUCGAAACUGGUUUCCUUGAGUGUAGAUGAAGUAGGCGGAAUUUGUGGUGUAGCGGUGAAAUGCAUAGAUAUCACGAGGAACUCCGAUUGCGCAGGCAGCUUACUAAACUACUACUGACGCUCAGGCACGAAGGCGUGGGGAUCAAACAGGAUUAGAUACCCUGGUAGUCCACGCAGUAAACGAUGAUUACUAGCUGUUUGCGAUACAAUGUAAGCGGCUGAGCGAAAGCGUUAAGUAAUCCACCUGGGGAGUACGUUCGCAAGAAUGAAACUCAAAGGAAUUGACGGGG